rnacentral:rRNA from 1 species
CCUACGGGUGGCAGCAGUGAGGAAUAUUGGUCAAUGGACGAGAGUCUGAACCAGCCAAGUAGCGUGAAGGAUGACGGCCCUAUGGGUUGUAAACUUCUUUUAUAGGGGAAUAAAAUGGGCCACGUGUGGGAUUUUGUAUGUACCAUAUGAAUAAGGAUAGGCUAACUCCGUGCCAGCAGCCGCGGUAAUACGGAGGAUCCGAGCGUUAUCCGGAUUUAUUGGGUUUAAAGGGAGCGUAGGGGGAUUGUUAAGUCAGUUGUGAAAGUUUGCGGCUCCACCGUAAAAUGGCCGUUGAACCUUGCAGUCUUGAGUACAGUAGAGGUGGGCGGACUUCGUGGUGUAGCGGUGA